GCAUACACCAUAUUAAGAUAUAGCAAGUCAAAAGAAAUUUUUCUUAAUAGUUAUAUGAAGGACACGGCUAGCGUUAUGGACGACUGUCAUAUGCCCUUACUUUAAGAAGCAUGGAAGCCAGUAUCAGUCGGACACAAGAGAAGUGAUCUGGUUGUAGCAUUUUCUGUGGAAGAUUACUUUUUGCAUAUCGACGAUCUACCAUCUCCUGAGAAGCUUUACACAAUGCAUGCAUUUGCCAUUGUCUAUAUUGGUAGGAAGAAGCCAAGAAAGUAUCCCAACAUUGUAAAGAUGCCUUGAUCUCCUGGGUAUCGAGGACAAGUGUCUUAUGAAUAGCUUACUCACGAUAAUCUGCUUGGGGCAUUUAAGAUUUUCUUAUUUUUGGUUUUGAUUUGUCACAGUGAUCCAGUUGUAUCAUCUACUGUGGAAGAUUACUUUUUGUAAAUUGACAAUCUACCAUCUCCUGAGAAGCUAUAUACAAUGCAUGCAUUUGCCAUUGUCUAUAUUGGCAGGAAGAAGCCAAGAAAGUAUCCCAACAUUGUUAAGAUGCCUUGAUCUCCUUGAAAUAGAAGACAAUUGCCUUAUAAAUAGCUUACUCAUGAUAAUCUGCUUGGGGCAUUUAAGAUUUUCUUAUUUUUGGUUUUGGUUUGUCAGAGUGAUCGGGUUGUAGCAUCUACUGUAGAAGGUUACUUUUUGUAUAUCGACGAUCUACCAUCUCCUAAGAAGCUAUAUACAAUGCAUGCAUUUGCCAUUGUCUAUAUUGGCAGGACGAAGCCAAGAAAGUAUUCCAACAUUGUUAAGAUGGCUUGGUCUCCUUGGUAUUGAGGACAAGUGUCUUGUGAAUAGCUUACUCAUGAUAAUCUGAUUGGGGCAUUUAAGAUUUUCUUAUUUUUGGUUUUGGAUUGUCACUGUGAUCUGGUUAUAGCAUCUACUGUGGAAGUUUACUUUUUGUAUAUUGACGAUCUACCAUCUCCUGAGAAGCGAUAUACAAUGCGUGCAUUUGCCUUGUCUCUAUUGGCAGGGAGAAGCCAGCAAA